rnacentral:rRNA from 1 species
UACAGAGGUCUCAAGCGUUGUUCGGAUUCAUUGGGCGUAAAGGGUGUGUAGGUGGCGCCGUAAGUCGGGUGUGAAAUUUCGGAGCUUAACUCCGAAACUGCAUUCGAUACUGCGGUGCUUGAGGACUGGAGAGGAGACUGGAAUUCAUGGUGUAGCAGUGAACUGCGUAGAGAUCAUGAGGAAGACCAGUGGCGAAGGCGGGUCUCUGGACAGUUCCUGACACUGAGGCACGAAGGUCAGGGGAGCAAACGGG